rnacentral:misc_RNA from 1 species
GAAAAAGGUUACUGUCAUCUCUGUUGGGAAGCCAAAUAAACCUAAUCAGUCUGUCAAGCAGUUAGCUAUUUGGGUAGACUCGAAAAGGAAGAAGCAAAAGCUUUUUGAUAUUUUGAUGAGCAAGCAGCAUUACAAGCCACCAGUUAUUGUAUUUGUGGAUUCUAGACUCGGAGCAGAUCUCCUUUCUGAAGCAAUAACAGUAAGCAC